AACGAACGCUGGCGGCAUGCCUAACACAUGCAAGUCGAACGAGACCUUCGGGUCUAGUGGCGCACGGGUGCGUAACGCGUGGGAACCUGCCCUUAGGUUCGGAAUAACUCCCCGAAAGGGGUGCUAAUACCGGAUAAUGUCUUCGGACCAAAGAUUUAUCGCCGUUGGAUGGGCCCGCGUUGGAUUAGCUAGUUGGUAGGGUAAAAGCCUAACAAGGCGACGAUCCAUAGCUGGUCUGAGAGGAUGAUCAGCCACACUGGGACUGAGACACGGCCCAGACUCCUACGGGAGGCAGCAGUGGGGAAUAUUGGACAAUGGGCGAAAGCCUGAUCCAGCAAUGCCGCGUGAGUGAUGAAGGCCUUAGGGUUGUAAAGCUCUUUUACCCGGGAUGAUAAUGACAGUACCGGGAGAAUAAGCUCCGGCUAACUCCGUG
rnacentral:rRNA from 1 species